rnacentral:rRNA from 1 species
UACAGAGGGUGCGAGCGUUAAUCGGAAUUACUGGGCGUAAAGCGCGCGUAGGCGGCUUGUUAAGUCAAAUGUGAAAUCCCCGAGCUUAACUUGGGCAUUGCAUUCGAUACUGGCAAGCUAGAGUAUGGGAGAGGAAGGUAGAAUUCCAGGUGUAGCGGUGAAAUGCGUAGAGAUGCGGAGGAACACCGAUGGCGAAGGCAGCCCCCUGGGCUAGCACUGACGCUCAGGCACGAAAGCGUGGGGAGCAAACAGG